GAUUGAUGUAGACAAGCCCUUGGUGGGUUAUACUAAAGAAUGAACAGAAACGUCAUGUAGCCGGAGUAGCGGGAGCGAAAAGGGUAGGAGGAAGAGAGUACCGGAGGGGAAGAGUUGUGUGCUCACAACAAAAAAAAUAAAGGAAUAAAAAAGUAAAGUUUAGAGCUUGUACCUUUUGCAUUAUGGUCAGAUAAAAGAGUGUCCAAAUGGGUAGCCCCGAAUUGUUGGGAUCUACCUUACAGGAGGAAGGGUGGCGUUGUAAGGCCACGGACUUAUCUAAAGGUAGGGGCGAGAUACCUGCCGCACAACAGGAUAGCUGGUUUUCCGGGAAAGGCACCUAAGUGCCCAGGUCUUCAGGAUGUCUUAGAGAAGAGGCUUAGGUAUUUGUGAAGGCUUGAUGGGGGGGGGAGGCUAAGCUCUCCUCGCAAGGUUAAGAGAGAAUAAAGAUGAGGGGCCUAAGUAGGCUUAACAGUGGCCAUCUUGAAAAGUUUGUUGCAGAAAACCCCAGUCAUCGGUUUAAAUUAUUAAUAAUCUCUAUUUUGAUACCGGAAUGUUGUGGGGAAUUGUGUCUGCAAUUAAGAAUUUCUGAAUUAGUAAUUGAGGGUUUAUAUAGUUUUGAAGCACAUGUUAAAAGCUUCAAAUCAGAAAAGAAAAGAGCCCAGAUUAAUCGCCGUAAAGGAACUCGGCAAACUUAGCCAUCACGGCUGUUUAUCAAAAACAUCGCCUCCUGCUUUUCACAGGAGGUCUCGUCUGCACAAUGACCUGCGGGUUCAAUUGCCGCGGUACCCUGACCGUGCUAAGGUAGCGUAAUCAUUAGCCUAUUAAUUGUUGGCCUGUAUGAAUGGCAUAACGCUGGUGGCGCUGUCUCUACGGUGAUCUAUUGAAUUUAACUUCUUGGUGAAAAGGCCAAGAUGCUUCUAAAAGACGAUAAGACCCUGUCGAACUUUAGGCUAACCGUCGAUGCGGGGUGUUUAGUCAUCUUCGUCGGCGUCUAACCUUUGGUUGGGGAAACCGAGGACCAAACAAAGCGUCCGUCCCCCCCACUGCUUAAGCCAAAAGGUUAAUUAUAAAAAGGGGUUAGUAUAAAGAUCUGGCGGGAUGAGAGUUAUUAAGGUUGAUCCGGAAACUUGUGUUUCGACUAUGGGAAAAGUUACCGCAGGGAUAACAGCGUAAUCCUCUCGGAGAGACCACAUUAAUGAGGGGGUUUGCGACCUCGAUGUUGGCUUGGGGCGUCCUAGAAGUGCAGGGGCUUCUAACGGUUGGUCUGUUCGACCAUUAAUGCCCUACAUGAGCUGAGUUCAGAUCGGCGUGAGCUAGGUCGGCUUCUAUCUUUAGGAGUGUUUGGCUAGCCUUUUGUACGAAAGGACUUAGGCUAGGGAAAAUUUCCGAUAAACGUGAUUUCGUAUAAGGUUUAACUAAGUAUAUGACAAGUGUGA
rnacentral:rRNA from 1 species